UUAAGCCCCUACAGUAUGCCAGUUACUGUCCUAGGCCCUGGCAAUGCAGCAAUGUGUAAAACACACAAUCACCUUAACCCUCUUGUAGCUAACUUUCUAUGUGGGGAAGACAAACAAUAAAUUAUUCAAGUAAGUACAAUAGGUGGUAUGCUGGAUAGAGGUGUGUGCUAUGGAGAAAAAAAAGUCGGUGAUGGAGAGUACCUGGCUUUGUUCUGUGAAGCUGAGGAGAUGGCCCCACGGAAUCUCUCACCCUUAGCCCCUGUACACAUUCCCACUGAUGCAAAGAGUGGAGAGUAGGUUCUCCUUCUUGGCGUAUCUCUCACUCUGGGGAGGUGGGCUUUGCUGGCUUUGUCGGAGCCACUCCCUUGACUUCUCCAUUUGCCCAAAAAACAUGUAGUUUGGUUGAAGAUGGUUUAUCAGUUAAGAACUGUCACCAGUUGCAAUUUAUGCAAGUAAAGGAAAUUUGACUGCAGUGGUGUGGAGGGGGCAGUCCAGGGCUGCCACCAGAACCCAGUUUCUCCCUGCCUUCUACUCCACCUGUGUUAGUGAGCAUCCUUCAUUCUCAUGCAUGCAAGAUAGUUCAUCUUCCCCUGGAUUUAUGUCCCCUUCCCAAUAGACUCCCACUUACAUGACAUUGGCCAGACUGGGUCAUGUGACCACCCCUGCUUGCAAGGGAGUCUGGGAAGGUAAGUAGUUGUGGCUGGGCAAUUGCUCUUGUAAUAGACACAGGGCAGUGGGGUUCAUGCUGCCUGCCACAGAUGGAGUUUGUAUUUCUUUUCCUCAUUGUCUUGUUUGCAACUUGACUCUGCCAUUCAAAGCUAUAAGUGCCCAGCAGACCUGUUUCCACACUGUAGAUCUUGUUCCACUGCUCUCCUGGCUCUUCCCUAUUCCAGGAGCAUCUUGGUAUCUUCUCUAUAGCUUUGUAUGACAUGGUCAUGGUCAUAUCUUAGUGUCAUUCCAAAAUACAGGAUCGUUUUUGUCAGUAUGAAUGGUAUCUGUAUCUGUGUUUAAUAUUUAGUUUGUUAUAGCAAGGGUGACAGUAUAAUUUAUCAUCCAAAUCAGAAUACUUUUGAGGGUAAAAGGGGAACAACAUUAAAAAUUAUGUCAGAACAACAAGUGUCAACUGAGACUGUCCCAAGCCAUGACAUAUAAUUACCCUAGUAACUGCUGAGGUCAAUGCACACUGUUGCAUUUUAUAAAUUGAUCUGAUGUCUUACAGGUUGACUAUUAUACCUCUAUGUAUGCACUCUCCAUUCUACUAAUUAACCUGUUGAUUCUAUUAAAUUUUCUAUGUAAGU
rnacentral:lncRNA from 10 species